rnacentral:RNase_P_RNA from 2 species
CAGGGGGCCUGGGCAGCCGCGUCCUUCGACAAGCUCAGGAUGAGCGGGGAGAAGGCCGAGGAAAGUCCGGGCUCCACGAAACAAGGGUGGCGGGUAACGCCCGCCCGGCGAGCGUCUUCGGACGCGAAGCCGAGGGAAAGUGCCACAGAGAGUAUACCGCCGAUGGAGGGAAACCUCACAGGCAAGGGUGAAAGGGUGCGGCAAGAGCGCACCGGGGUGCUGGCAACAGCAUCCGCAUGGCAAACCCCACCCGGAGCAAGGCCGAAUAGGGGCCUCGCGCCUGCGCCCUUCGGGGCAAGGGCAGGGGCGUUUCGCCCCGAGAGGCCCGGGUUGGUUGCUUGAGCGCAGGGAGCGAUCCCUCGCCUAGAUGAAUGGCUGCCCCCGCGUGGCCGGUCCCCUUUGGGGAUACCGCGCGCAGGACAGAACCCGGCUUACAGGGCCCCCUGGCAU